GGAAGUAAAGGAAAUUUCAGCCACCGUGGGGUAAACAGCAAAGAUUACCAUCUCUUUGAAGGCAGAAACUUUAUCUGCGACAUCCUGUAUUAUGCCGGUAGCUCAUAAUUAUUGCUUUUCAAAACCCUGAUGUAGAUCUUACCAGCAGUUUCACAUUUUAAGCAGAGAAAACUCCAAAUCGGCAGAGCAAAGAAAGGACUGUGAACAAGACUGAUCAUUUAAAGGUCGUAAAGGGAGGUGUUAGGGAAAGGUGGAGGAAGGCGAAGAGAAGGCUAAGGAAGCCUAAGAACUGCGGCUGCAGAGUCACGGAAACACUUCGCUCCGCUCCAGGAUCACUGGCACAGGCCUUUGCCAGGGCGAACUCCGGGCAAGACCCGUGACCCCACCCCAGAAAACUCCCGACUCCCGGGCUGGAGAAGGUAGCCAAGGUAGGGCGGACCGUCCCCCGACGGGUCCUAGGAGGGUCCAGCCCGGGGGCGGACGGCGCCGGGCGCCCAGCACCGCGGCCAAGGCUCAGGGCCCGUGCCCCCUCCCGCCCUGCCCAUUCGCACCCCCAGCCCCGCGCCGCGCCGUCCUUACCCGGCGCGAAGCUGUCGGCUCCCGGCAGCCGGGCGGCCACGGCAGCGGCACCUCCUCCUGCGGCGGGCGCCCUCACCCUUCCGCGCCCAAGAUCGCCAUCUCGCAGCAGGCGCGGCGGCAGCAGCCACCCAGGCGUCGGCCCCGGCAGCCCAGGCCGCCAGCAGCCACUCGGAACCCGCACGCGGAGCUCGCCGACACCCGACCCUCCCCCCACCCCCACCCCGUCCACGCGCCACCCCCAGCCGACCCCACACCUCCCUUCCUCGGGAGCGCGCCGCGUGGCCGCGUCGCCGGCGCCGCGCCCUAAGCGCGCGCCUCCCCGCCGGCCCCGGCACCGCGCGCUACGCCGCGGCCGCCCAAAGCCUCCAACUCCGGACCCGGAAUCCGCCUCCCCCGAGCAUGCGCAGCGAGGGCGCUCGGAUGCUGCCUUAGGAAAACUCCGCUCCUCCGGGUCUUCCGAGCAGUCUAGCGGAGGGGGACGGACAGCCAAUAGUAGGGAGGGGCGGGGCCUGAACGUGUGGAAGGGGCGGGGCCGCCGCUGAGAUUUGGGAAGAGGCUGCUCUAAGCUCGCGCUGGGCACUGCUAAUUUGACUUUCCGGUCGGCGGCUGAUCCCGGAGCAGGACUUCUUAAGAUCAUUCUCAGUUGCCAUAUGGCAAAGACACAGGAAGCUGCCCUGUGUAGAGACCCACAUGGCAAGGAACUGAGACAUCCUGCCAACAACCACCAGAGUCUGAGGCCUGCUGCCAUCACCACGUGAGUGAGACAUCUUAGAAGUGGAUCCUUCAGCCUAAGUCAAGCCUUCAGAUGAUUGCGUCUUGACUGCAGCCUCAUCAAAGACCUUGAACCAGAACCACCCAACUCAGUUACUCUCAAAUGCUUAACCCAUAGAAACUAUAGCGGUAAAAUAAGUGCUUAUUGUUUUAAGUCACUAAAUUUGGGAGAUAAUUUAUAUCUAUCCAGAAAUAGAUAACAAAUACACUAAUCCUGUUGUUCUCAACUUGGGACCAUUUCAUAUCCCAGGGGAUUUUGGCAAUGGCUUACGACAUUUUUCAUGGGGGUAGGUUGGAUGUUCCAUUGGCAUCUAGUGGGUAGAUGUGACAGAGGGUGCUAAACAUCCUACAGUGCACAAGACAGCCCCAUCACUCCACUCAAAAAACAAGGAAUGAUCAGGUCCAAAUGGCAUUAAUGCUGAAGCUGAGAAACUGCCCCAACCUAUUUUCCCUUGCACUUUAAAAGUUUCCUAUUUCACCUGUACUUGUGAAAGAGGUGGGGUUUGCUUCACUUCCAUUACUCAUUUGAAUGCUGCUUCACUUGUUUCUUUUUUUUUUUUCUCUUUUUCUACUUUUAUUUUAGGUUCAGGGAAUACCUGUGCAGGUUUGUUGCAUGUGUAAAUUGCGUGUCACUGAGGCUUGGUGUACAAAUGAUCCUAUCACCCAAGUGCUUGUUACUUAGCCCUCUUUAGUAUUCUCCUCAUUCUCAUGCUCCCCUUCUGGUCAAAGCCCAAAACUCAGAUAGCAUAGAGAGCAGUGCCCCUUAGGACAAUCUGCACUUCCUUAAGAAUUCCUUUGAAGGAGUGAAAUACCAACAUGAGGCAGUCCUCUCCUCUUCUGAUGUUCCCCUCUCCUGUUUACCUUCCUAUAAGUACCGAACAAAGUAAGUAGGUAUAUCAGUCUUAAGGGCUUCCCAUGCCAUAAGAUAUAACUUAAAGCAGUUAUAUCUUAUGAAGGAAAUUAUUUCUUGUGAUGGUCUUUUUUAAAAACUAUUUUUAGUAAAGACAGGGUUUCACCAAGUUGACCAGGCUGCUCUUGAACUCCUGACCUCAGGUGAUCUGCCCACCUUGGCCUCCCAAAGUGCUGGGAUUACAGGAGUGAGCCACCGCACCUGGCCUUUACUGAUACUCUUUGUUUUUAUUUUUAAAAUAUUUUUAUAGACACAGGGUCUCACUAUUUUGCCCAGGCUGGUCUUGAACUUCAGGCCUUCCUGCCUUGGCCUCCCAAAACACUGGCAUUUACAGGUAUGAGCCACCAUGCCUAGACUUUUUAUUUUUAUUUUUGCAAUACUCUUUUUUAAUUGACCUGAAUGAGGUAUUGUUUAUAUACACUAAACUAACCUCAUUUUAAUGGUACAGUUCAAUAAAUUUUAACAAAUGAAUACACCAGUGUAACUAUUACCACAAUCAUGAUACAGAACAUUUCCAACACGGCAAAAAGUAUUCUCAAGCCCUUCCUCCCCCCAACUACUUCUGGUCCUAGGUAACUACUUGUUUGCAUUCUGUCACUGUAGAAUAAUUCUACUUUUUACAUAAUUUCAUUUUUUAUUUUUGAGACAGGGUCUCACUCUGUCACCCAGACUGGAGUGCCAUGGCAUUGACACAGCUCACAGCAGCUUCAAUCUCCUGGGCUCAAGGGAUUCUCCCGCUUCAGCCCCUUGAGAAACUGGGACUACAGGCAUGUACCACAGGGCCCAGCUAAUUCUUUAACUUUUUGUUGAGAUGGGGUCUUGCCGUGUUGCCCAGGUUUGUCUCAAAUUCCUGGCCUCAGGCAAUCCUUCUGCCUCAGCCUCCCAAAGUGCUGGGAGUACAGGUGGGAGCCACUGCAUCUCGGCCCACUUUUUCAAGAAUUUGAUAUAAGUGGUAUCAUCCAGUAUAUACUCUGUUGUAUGUGGUUUCAGCUCAGCAUGUUUCAGAGAUGCAUUUGUAAUAUUCUGUGCAGUAGUUAUUUCUUCUUUUCUAGUGGAGUAGUGAUCCCUUGUAUGGAUUUGCUACAAUUUGUUUAUUUUUGUCCUAUUCAUAGAUAAUUGGUUUGUUUCCAGUUUUUGGCUACUAUGACUAAAGAUUCUAUGAACAUUUGGUUAAAAGUAUUUUUCUUGGAUAAAUAAUGCCUAAGAGUAAAACAGCUAGGUCAUAUUGUCAUAUAUCUAACUUUAUGAUAAAUUGCCAAACUGUUUUCCAAAGUGGUUGUACCAUUUCCAUUUCCACCAGUAAUAUAUGAGAGUUCCAGUUGCUUCAUUUCUUCUCCAAUGUUUGGUAAUCCUUCUAAUUUUCAAUUAUUGUAUUUAAAUUUGCAUUUUCCUAAUAACUAAUCAUGUUGAGUAUCUUUUCCUGUCCUUAAGGGGCAUGUGUGUAUUUGAACAGAAGUAUCUGUUCAAACCUUUUGUCUACUUCAAAUUGGUUUUUUCCUCUUAUUACUGGGGUGUGUAUAUUCUGUCUUUUAUACUAUCCUUUGUCAGAUAUUGGUGUUGUGAAUAUUUUCUCCCAGAUUAUGGCUUGCUAUGGCAGUCAGCCCCCAAGAUGGACCCCAUUGAUUCUGGACUCCUGGUGCCAAAACCAUUGUACCCAGAUCAACUGCAAACAAGAACAGAGUUUUAAUGGAAAUUUUAAACAAGUAAGAUGAAAAUCCUGAAGCAUUUCUUUCAAGAAUUGUAACAGGAGAUGAAACAUGGCUUUACCAGUAUAAUCCCGAAGACAAAGUACAAUCAGAGCAAUGGCUACCAAGAGGUGGAAGUGGUCCAGUCAAAGCAAAAGCAGACCUGCCAAGAGCAAAGGUCGUGGGAAUAGUUUUUUGGGAUACUUAUUUUGCUUGUUGACUUUCUGAAGAGCCAAAGAACAAUAAUAUCUGCUUGUUUCAAGAGUGUUUUGAGAAAGUUUGCUAAAGCUUUAGCAGAAAAAUUCCUGGAAAAGCUUCACCAGUCUUUUUCUACCGCAACAAUGCUCCCACUCAUUCUUCUCAUCAAACAAGGGCAAUUUUACAAGACUUUCAAUGAGAAAUCAUUAGGCAUCGACCUUACAGUCCUAAUUUGGCUCUUUCUAACUUCUUUUUGUUUCCUAAUCUUAAAAAAUCUGCAAAGGGCUCCCAUUUUUCGUCAUUUAAUCAUGUAAAAAAGACAUGGUUAAAUUUCCAUGAAUCUCAAUUUUUUUAGGGAUGGAUUAAAUGACUGGUGUCAUCACUUACAACCAUGGUUGACCUCGAUGGAGCUUAUGUUGAGAAAUAAAGUUUAUAUUCUUUAUCUUUUAAUUCAAUUUUUCCAUGAACAUUUUGAAGUGCCUCAUAUUAUAAAUGAUAUUUCAUUGUUAGUGGUUCAUUAAUAGGGUAUUUAAAUACAAUUCUUUUUUAAUAUUAGUCCUGUACACUGAGAUCAUGUUUAAAAACCUAUUAGUUCUAGUAGUAUUUUAUAGAUUUCUUUUGAUUUUCUAUGUAUACAAUCAUGUUUCUCCAAAUAAAGAGUUUUAUUUUUUUCCUUCCA